AAUUAGGACCUUACUCUCUGAGUAAGGAGAGCCUCCCACUUGCUUACCUGGCCAAUUGUUUGAUUGCCUAUUAUGGAUAAGCUUAAUAUUAAUAUAACACUAUUGAUAGCCUUCCUUCAUGCCUCGACAUUAUUAUGUCAAGAUCCAUGCUAGUUUGUUGUGCUAACACAAGGCUUGCUAUGGGGACUGAUUUUAUAUUGUCUUGGUGCAUUAAGAUGCUUAUGGCAUAUUUUAAUAUAUUGCUUUGUUGUGCAACCACAAGGGCAAUAUUAUU
rnacentral:lncRNA from 1 species